rnacentral:rRNA from 1 species
GAUGAACGCUAGCGAUAGGCUUAACACAUGCAAGUCGAGGGGCAGCAUGGUCUUAGCUUGCUAAGACUGAUGGCGACCGGCGCACGGGUGCGUAACGCGUAUGCAACUUGCCUCACAGAGGGGGAUAACCCGUCGAAAGACGGACUAAUACCGCGUACACUCUAUGUUGGGCAUCCAAUGUAGAGGAAAUGAAAUUCGCUGUGAGAUAGGCAUGCGUCCUAUUAGCUUGUUGGUGGGGUAACGGCCCACCAAGGCGAUGAUAGGUAGCCGGCCUGAGAGGGUGGACGGUCACAAGGGGACUGAGAUACGGCCCUUACUCCUACGGGAGGCAGCAGUGGGGAAUAUUGGACAAUGGGGGCAACCCUGAUCCAGCAAUUCUGUGUGCACGAUGAAGGUUUUCGGAUUGUAAAGUGCUUUCAGCAGGGAAGAAAAAAAUGACGGUACCUGCAGAAGAAGCGACGGCUAAAUACGUGCCAGCAGCCGCGGUAAUACGUAUGUCGCAAGCGUUAUCCGGAAUUAUUGGGCAUAAAGGGCAUCUAGGCGGCCAGAUAAGUCUGGGGUGAAAACUUGCGGCUCAACCGUAAGCCUGCCCUGGAAACUAUGCGGCUAGAGUACUGGAGAGGUGGACGGAACUGCACGAGUAGAGGUGAAAUUCGUAGAUAUGUGCAGGAAUGCCGAUGAUGAAGAUAGUUCACUGGACGGUAACUGACGCUGAAGUGCGAAAGCUAGGGGAGCAAACAGG